AGGGAUUUCUUCUGACUCCAAGGCCGCUCUGGAGUCGAAGAAGGUCGGGGCAACGUCCAGGCAUCCGGUCCCUUCUGGCCGCACUGACGAGAGGACGGUUGAGACAACACAGAGCCCGGGUGUGUUGUCUUCUACUGAUGAAGAUGAGGAAACUACUGCGAAGGUAAGUGAGGUGAGUAUGAGUAAUGUUGAUGUUGUUAGGGGUUCAGUUCACCAGGGGCACAGUCGGUUUAGGAAUCCGGGAGUUCAGUGUAUGGCGAUAGGGUUGGUUAGUUUGGCCAGACAUAUGGUGUCUAGUGUGUUUAAUUGGAAGACAGAAGAUCUAGAUUUAGCUCUGUGGUUAGGAGAUCAGCUCUAUACACAUCUGAAGGACCAUGGUCUAAUUCCUCCAGGAGAAGACUUUUUGAUGAUCCCAGAGUUGCCGAAAGAGCACGUUUUAUACUGGCAGAACUUUAAGUUUUCGUUCCCUGAGACUGUUAGUGGUGAUGUCACUGUGACUGAAGGAGAGUUCAUUGAGUGUGGAGCAUUUGUGACUCUAGAACAUGGGCUGGAAAGGAUGUUAUCUCAGUACCAGACAUGUCUUUUGACCUUGUGUUCAAAUACAUGUGCUGUAAUUUCUGCUAGUGGUAGGUUUGCUGUUGUUGAUUCUCAUUCACGCAGUGCUACUGGCAUGGUGGAUGUUAAUGGUACCAGUGUAGUUUUGUA